rnacentral:lncRNA from 1 species
AUCUGUGUCCAAAUGACUUUGUACUGCUACAUAGAACCACAAGAGCAUCACGUUCUUGUUUGGUUCUUAGCUCCUGAAUCUGUAGCAGUUCAUCUUUUACUGGAGUCCGUUGAAGUUUGCAGCAAUCCAAAGUAGGUCAAAUUCCCUAUUGUUAGAUCAUCAAUACAUAAGGCAAGAGUGGCUAAGAUCUAUCACCAGUUCUUUGCAAAUCGUCGAAGGAAAAAAAAGGACACCAAGCAUAUCUGGAGAGGAAGGCUAUUCUAUCCCAUUUUCCUCUCUUUUCUCGAAUAAAUUAAAGUCAAAUUCAAAGAGGCAACCGCUUCUGCCUCAAGCCUUUUUGUACCUAACAAUUCGAAGCUCACGCUUCUCCGAAGUUGCUUUGCUUCACGCUUGGGAAACUAAGGACUCUGUGAGAAAGCACGGGAGAAACAUAUAAUUGAUAUUUAAACAUGAUACAAUGAGCCCUAUAUAUAUACACAUAACCUAUCCUACUCCUAAUAAACAAUGGAUUAGGCUACUCCUAAUACACAUUGGAUUAGGAUUCUACUGUUACAUAUUCUAACAGACCCCUUGCUACGGUAUUUUUCUGCCGCUUAAGGAGCAUAAGCACCCUCUUGCUAGCAUCAUUUGUCUUUCAUGACCAUCAUCGCUUCCACGCUUGUAGCGUUCACGUUUAUUCAAAGUUGCUUCCUUUUACCCAUGUGAAUCGAAGACACCUUGUUUUUCAUUGCUUCGUCACCUUAAACAAUGAGUGAUCCUCAAAAUUCAUAUAACUUUCCCAUACAAUUAACCAAUUAAAAAGGCUAAGUUGUUAAACAUAGACCCAAGGUCAAAUAAUCGCCAACCCACCAGCUUAAUCUCUAUCUAAUCACCAAGCCAAUCCUCGUGGCCAAAUACAUUAGAAUCUCACCGGAACAGUGCUCACGCGCCGGCGCGUGGGGCGCGUAAGUCGGAUCUGCCUGGGUAAAUCUGGCGCGUGAGGGCGCGUGAAGGGCAGUUUUCCGAUGGGGUUUGCUGGGGUUUGGUCGGUUCUCUCUUGGGAACCUUGUGGUGGUGUUGGUUUUUGCACAACACUGAUAAUUAGUGACUUUGAAAGCAUAUCUGGAGAGGAAGGCUAUUCUAUCCCAUUUUCCUCUCUUUUCUCGAAUAAAUUAAAGUCAAAUUCAAAGAGGCAACCGCUUCUGCCUCAAGCCUUUUUGUACCUAACAAUUCGAAGCUCACGCUUCUCCGAAGUUGCUUUGCUUCACGCUUGGGAAACUAAGGACUCUGUGAGAAAGCACGGGAGAAACAUAUAAUUGAUAUUUAAACAUGAUACAAUGAGCCCUAUAUAUAUACACAUAACCUAUCCUACUCCUAAUAAACAAUGGAUUAGGCUACUCCUAAUACACAUUGGAUUAGGAUUCUACUGUUACAUAUUCUAACAGACCCCUUGCUACGGUAUUUUUCUGCCGCUUAAGGAGCAUAAGCACCCUCUUGCUAGCAUCAUUUGUCUUUCAUGACCAUCAUCGCUUCCACGCUUGUAGCGUUCACGUUUAUUCAAAGUUGCUUCCUUUUACCCAUGUGAAUCGAAGACACCUUGUUUUUCAUUGCUUCGUCACCUUAAACAAUGAGUGAUCCUCAAAAUUCAUAUAACUUUCCCAUACAAUUAACCAAUUAAAAAGGCUAAGUUGUUAAACAUAGACCCAAGGUCAAAUAAUCGCCAACCCACCAGCUUAAUCUCUAUCUAAUCACCAAGCCAAUCCUCGUGGCCAAAUACAUUCUUAUCCUUCCUUCUUACUCCACUUAUCUUUUAUAGACAAGUAAAAUAAUAUUAUAAUAUUAUACACCAAGAUGUGAGUUAAUAAAGUAGUUUAAUAGAAGAAGGCCUUAGGCUACCAAGAAAAUGUAACCAGUUAUACAAGGAAUUUCUUUUCACUAACUACCUAGGAGAGGGAUCAUGAAUUUCUUUUCAUGAUCCCCCUAGAGGUCGGUUUCCACUUGGGAUAAAUUAGUCUAGGAAUUAUAAUCCCAGGACUAUAAUUCCGUGAAUUUUUUUUUUUUUUUUGCGUACCAAACGAUUCCUUAGGGUCUUCUAGUUUAGACACAAAGUUACGCAGGGAUUAAUAGUGCAUGGAUUAUAACGUAGGAAUUUGUAAUAUGGGGAUUAUAAUGCAUGGAUUGGUAAUGCAUGAAUUAUAAGGUAUCAUUUUAAAAGAUUGUUAAUACAUGAGGGUUAUUUUGAUCAUAUUAGUUAUUUCAAUCCAUGUAUUCUAAUUCCACCUUCUAUCCGGCAUAGAAUAAUACACCGAUUCUUGUAUAACUUAUGCGGGAAACAAAACCAGCCACCACACGAUGUAUUGUACAUUUCUAGAAUAUAUGCUAGUUUAAAAAGGCAACCAGACACUAUUACUAAAGAAAGGUUUUAUGCCACCGGUCACUCUUUGUCAUAGUGGUUGAUGUCGUUUUCUUCACAACACUAGGUCAAGAGUUCAAGGCUUGUAAGUUGCAAAGCAAAAAAUGCAAGGUUUUAUGCAGGUGUCAUAAGAGUUUAUACAUGCAACCAAAUGGGCUGUCAGUAUCCAAGUCUAAAUUUCUUAGAAAAUUCUCAUAUUCCUCUCUCUAUAUUGGCCGAAAUUUUUUUAAUGGAUGGUCUUUCAAAUCUUCCUUGUAGCAUUUGAUUUGUUGGUUUUCAAGCUUGCUAAUGUAUCUCCCCUGCUCUAGGGAGUUCCAUCAAAAAUGAAAUUUUUAUUCUCCAAUCUAUUGAAUAUUUUAGCAACCAUGGCCUCCCCCAUCUAGAAUGGGGGCCUGAGGAAAUAUGUCUUUCACAAUAGUAUCACCAUACCAAACAUCAAGUUAGAACUAAUAUGUUUUUUAUUCUUCAUUAAUAACCCUCUCUCAACCAACCAAGAUAUUUUGUUUGUUCACUUAUUCCAUCGCACAUGAAAUCUCUUAUUAAUUUCUCCAAAGUAAUUAAGCAACUACAACAAUGGAAACGAAUAUGGACAAAGACAUGAAGUAUUAAGAAUGUUGGAGAGUGUUGUUUUUGUCAUAUUAACUUUCCUCCUGUAGACAUAAUCGUACACAUUUUCAGUCUUCUCUUAAACUCUUAAGCUUUUCUCUAGCUAGUGGUCAUAGCUCAGUCCCUUUGAACUUACCACUUCUUGGAAGUCCAAGAUAUUAUAUAGGGACUUUAGCUACUUUACAUCCUCCAUCCAAAGCAAGUUCAUACAUGUUAUGUACUUUCUCAACAGUUAUCUGCUCCGACAUUUUCAUGUUAAUACAAAGGACAAAGUCCAAACACUUUCUAGAGUCAUAACAAUGUUAAUGGGUUCACAAUUAAAGCUUUUACUAGCUAACAGGCGUGAUUUAGAGAUCUUCCCACCUUGGCUUCAUAGAUUAUAAAUUCACCCCGACAAAAUGGCCUAUUAAGUGACUUGCGAAGGGUAUACAUAAUAAGCUAAUAACACAAGAAGCAUCAAUGAUCGGGAAUCCCCCUACAUGAGUUCAUCUGAUACUCCCAGAAUAUCCAAUGGGGGAGCUGUUGGCACUAAAACAUGCCAAUUCAAUAAAUGACUCAAGCAUUUCCUACACUGUCAUAUCACAUCUAUGAUGUUCAUGUUUUGUAACUUUUUCAGACCUAUUUUCGCACUAAACCUUUUGUAAAGGUUUUCUCUCUUUUCUCCUGCCAAUUUAGCUAUCAACAUAUCCAUGAUUUCCUUCAUUAUCUUUUUUACCUCCUUAGAUAAUUGUUACAUUCGAACAAUAUAUCAAAAUGAAGCUACAACAGACUAACAUCCAAACUCAUUGUGAGCUAUUCAAACUCGAAAGACAUCUUUUUAACCACCUGCCAGCUGACUACUAUUCCAUUAACCCAAACGAUAAAAAAGCAAACUAAGAUGGCAAAAGCUCAACUUGGAAGACGUUCAGACAAAUUCCACUUGCAUGCCUAUUUUAAAUAAUAUUGUGAUGUUGAGUUUUGUAUUUACCCAAAAGAGAAAAUUGGUGGGUUGAAAGGGAACUAGGCUUGAGGUUUUCUGUUGUACGACUACCCUCAAUAAACCAAACUACCCAAAAUCACUAUAGCAUAUCUUAAAGAUCCUCAUUUUGUUUUAGUUUAUUCAAUCUUGUGCUCGAUUCAUUAAUUAAUAGGAAACCAAUUAGAUUUAUUUAGUAACCCAAGACGAACUUGACAAAGAGAAUCUUGGUUUGACUAGACUUGAGUAUCGCAAUGAUAAAUUACUUAGCUCAACCAGUGUUUAGAAAAGCGCGC